rnacentral:lncRNA from 1 species
AUACUGAUCAACAAAAAUGUGAACUUGAGCUAAACGCCAAACAAGUUUUCACAGGGACAGAAGCAAAGCAAGUAGGUUUUCAGUUUGAACAGUGAGAAAGGGAACUGAAAAAGUGUCACGAGAGGUUAAGACGGUGGAGAUGAGUUAGAGGCAGAGAUGAUGCCAAACCCCAAAACUAAAUAAUGCUUUAAAUAAACAAAUAAAAAGAAAGAUAUAUCAUGAGGGCGUUGAAAAAUAAAAGCUAAGAAUAAUAAUGGCUGAAAAGGGAUAUAGAGUUAUAGAUUAAGACAUGAGGAACAAGCAAGAUAAAAGAAAAUGACAAGAAAGGGAGAAAAGAAGAAGAAGAAGAGAAAGUUAGAGAGGCUUGUUCAAUAAAAAAGUGAAUAUAAAUAGUUGGAGAUUUGAGAAAGGAACAAACUUUUCUUAGUGGGAUUUGAAAUUUUUUGAUUACUAACAAACACAAUCUAUGGAGGAGGGCACAGCUUCUGGAUAAAACGUGGGAAAUGACAUGGCCAACAACAACAAGUGGUCACCGAAACGAAGAUCUCCAUUUUGGAAUAAAGAAAGUGACAAAACACUGAAAUUGUGAAAGUGGACAACUUUCUUUUCCAAAUCCGAAAACACCUGAAGAUGCAGUAGAAGAACUUAAGAGUAGAUGAUUAAGAAAAUGUUAUUUAUUUUAUUUUUCUUCUUAAUACAAAAUAUUUUUAUUUGAUUAUCUAUCGGUAGAUAAUAGUAUACUAGGUUUUUUUUUAGUUGGCAUGAUGAUCUCAUAUUAGAAGGAGAUACUAUAAGCAGCACUGUGAAACCUCAUGAUACAAAAUGGGAGUUGUGAGUACCUAAUUGAACAAACCAAUGCACGAUGAAAAGAAUGAAAUGAUGAAGGAUAAGAAUUUUAUUAGGAAGAGACCACCACAAAUGCAAUGAGACAACUACGAGUGAAUGGGAAUUUGUAUGGAAUAUCCACUAAAAUUGGACCACAGAGCAAUAUCAUCAACGCACUGCGAUUAGUGAAUGUAAAAGUAUUCCACGAGUGACAAAUCGACCAGAGACAAAUGUAUGGUCUAUUGUGUGGGUGUACGCCUUAAAACACAUUCAGUAUCAAAACCAAAAAAAAAAAACUAUAUCUGAACGAUCCAAACUACAAAACUUGGUAUCACAAAUCUUCUAAUACCUGCAGUGUUUGUUUAAGCUUAUGAGUUGGCUACUCUUUAGAAACCACUCAGCAUUUUCCCUCCUCUUGAGGAAUGUUGAACGUCCACCCUGGAAAAUCUGAAUCCUCAAACAGAGAUGUUGGAACCGCUUUGUAGAAGGCUAAUGGAACUUGUUUUACCCUUCUCCGAAUCUGCCAUUUUUAAAUACAGUAUGUCCCCACAGUUAGUUUGUCUAAUGGUACUUGGUUUCGCACCACUAAUUACAACAAGGAGUUGAUGCAUAAGAGCCAUAAAGCUACAUUACCUCGUCUCCGAAGAUGGUGGCAUAUGAACCAGAGCUGAAAUCUUCUAUUUUCAUUUCGGUGGUUUUCGCUCUGACGGUUAGAUCAGUUUCCAACGAUGAAACAAACCUACACAUCAAGGAGAUUACAAAAUGUAUGAAACAAAAGAACUUCAUUCUUUUUGGAUAUUAUGGUCUGGUGGAGUGAAAUGUACCUUGAGACUGGUGGGCAGUAAUGGUGACGCAAAGUGUCAAUCUCCCAAAGGGAACUCCCUGUUAACAAGUAAUGAAUAUCAUCAGUUCUCUUGUGAAGUUGUCUCACAAGGAAGCAAAACAACACCCUCGCUAUCAGAACUUCAAUUUUUGCAUGAAUCUAGAGAAAUACAGUGCCACCAAUAAGAAAGUACAAAUCUAGAAAUACACAGCAGCAUAGAUAUUACUGUUGGAUAUGCUUCUACAUCACUGGGAAAGUCAAAAUACUUACUCAUGGCACCAGUUUUCUUGAGAUCACUUUCCUGGUUGUUGAAAUAGUCAAUACCAAGAUUUUUGUUGGUCUUUGGUCGGCACUCAUUGGAUUCCUCAGCUUCUGAAUUGGCUUCGUUGGCGGUUUCAACGGUUUCCUGCACAAAAGUGACCACAUUUGUAAGUGCAUGCUUUUAUAAACAUGAUUUUUGUUGCAUUUUCAAGCACUCACGAAGGCUAUACCUGAUGCACAAGAUGGUUGAUUGUAGAUUAGAGCCGUAAUGACCAACGAUCCCGAAGGAGGAACAGAAAGUGACAAUCUGCUUAGUUUCUUUGCGAAUGAAGCUGCCAGAUAUGCUGGAAGCAAUAAUGACCUAAGGCAAGCAUCAAGAAGCUGCGAUCAGAGUUGACAUCUUCCUCAGCAGCUUUGAAAGCAAGACUUGCAGUAUGGCCGUACAUGGUGUUUAAACCGAAUAUAGCACCUACUUUAAUAACACGAGGCCUAGACGUAGAAGCUCCCUCUGAAAGUAAACCAAGAAAAGCACCAAGAACUAUGAAGCCCAACAGAACACAAUUCAUUGCUUGGUUCUUUAAUACUGAUCAACAAAAAACGAGAACUUGAGCUAAACCCCAAACAAGUUUUUCAGAGGGACAGAAGCAAAGCAAGUAGGUUUCAGUUUGAACAGUGAGAAAGGGAACUGAAAAAGUGUCACGAGAGGUUAAGACGGUGGAGAUGAGUUAGAGGCAGAGAUGAUGCCAAACCCCAAAACUAAAUAAUGCUUUAAAUAAACAAAUAAAAAGAAAGAUAUAUCAUGAGGGCGUUGAAAAAUAAAAGCUAAGAAUAAUAAUGGCUGAAAAGGGAUAUAGAGUUAUAGAUUAAGACAUGAGGAACAAGCAAGAUAAAAGAAAAUGACA